rnacentral:lncRNA from 15 species
AUGUCAACAUCUUGAGGUUUUUCUACAACUUGGGUCUCAAGGUAAGACAAAAGGAUGAGAUGAUAACUCCACACAUGAACAGAGCCACUAAAUGUGCUCCUGAAAGUUAAUUUAAAAAAGUUACGGAUGUGAAAUAGUUCUUAAAUUAAAUUCACUGUGGUCUUUAAGAAGUCUUUAAUAACCCCUGCUGACACCUGAGGAAACCCUGUACAUGACUCUGUUGUACUCCUCUCUCCAGGCCUACUCCAUGCCCAUGUUCCCCCCCUACAUUUACCUCCUCCCCCUCCAGCAGGCUCACACCAUGCACCCCAAGCUCCACUCCCGCUCCCCCUCCCCCUCCCCUACCCCCCACUACCCUCCCUCCAACCCCCCCACCAGGCCCCAGGAGGCGUACCCCCACCCCCAGUACCCUCAGACGUCAGCGUCUAUGCCGCCUCCACGUACGAAACCCCCGCUCCCCGAACCCCCCGUCCCCUCAGCGAUCGCGACCCCUCCUUCAACCAGCCCGGGUACCCCGUCGCCCAGCCUCCGCCCCACGGCAUGUCCGGCUCCUCGCUGCCAUGGCAACAGCACCAGAUGCCCCCACCCAGAAACCCCGGCUUCCCGGUGGAGUACUCCACCCAAAGUCCUCCGUAUCCAGGACCCCCGCCCUUGUCUCAGGGCUACCACCCGGGUCAAGCUCCGGGACACCCGCCGUACCCUCAGAGCGCGCCCCUGUACCCGCCCUCAUCACUGGGGUACCAGUCCCCAUCCGCCCCCGAGGAGCUCCAGGUGAGCCAGGGGGCGAUGGAGCAGCGUCAGCCGGCCAACGGGGACACGAUGUCCGGCGGAGGCCACGGGCGAGUCCGCGGUCCCGCUGCUGUUAGCAUGGCUAACGCUAACAACAGGACUGUGAUGGUUCCUGGUUUCGCCCUCAAGAAGGAGCCGGGAGAGAGUUUACCAAGAUCAGUGCUGCUGGUGGAUCCACCGCUCAACAACACUCCUAUAGUACGACACACACACACACAGAGAGAGAGACACAGAGACACACACAGAGAGAGAGACACACACAGAGAGAGAGACACACACAGAGAGAGACACAGAGACAGAGACACACACACAGAGACACACACACACAGACACACACACACACACACACACACACACACACAGAGAGACACACAGAGAGAGACACACACACAGAGAGAGAGAGAGAGACACACACACACACAGAGAGAGAGAGAGAGACACACAGAGACACACACACACAGAGAGAGACACACACACAGACAGAGAGAGACACACACACACACACACAGAGAGAGAGAGAGAGAGAGACACAGAGAGAGAGAGACACACAGAGACACACACACACACAGACACACACACACAGACACACACACACAGAGACACACACAGUCACACACACACACACACACAGAGACACACUGUGUGGUAUAUUAACAGUAGUAUUUGUAAAUCUCUCUCUGUGUCUCUCUCNNNNNNNNNNNNNNNNNNNNNNNNNNNNNNNNNNNNNNNNNNNNNNNNNNNNNNNNNNNNNNNNNNNNNNNNNNNNNNNNNNNNNNNNNNNNNNNNNNNNAAAAAAAAAAAACCCCCUUUUAAAAAAAAACCCCCCGGGGUUUUAAAAAAAAAAAAAAAAAAACCGGGGGUUUUUUAAAAAAAAAAAAAAAACCCGGUUUUUUUUUUAAAAACCCCUUUUAAAAAAACCCCCCCGGGGUUUUUUUUUUUUUUAACCCCGGGUUUUUUAAAAAACCCGUUUUUAAAAAACCCCCCCCCGGGGGUUUUUUUUUUUUUACCCCCCCCGGGUUUUUACCCCCCCCCCGUUUUUACCCCCGUUUUUUUUUUUUUUCCCCCCCCCCGGUUUUUUUUAAACCCCGUUUUUUCCGUUUUUUUAAAAACCCGUUUUUUUUUUCCCCGUUUUUUUUAAAAGUUUUUUUUAAAACGUUUUUUUUUUACCCGGUUUUUUUUUUUCGGGGGUUUUUUUUUAGGGUUUUUUUUUUACGGGUUUUUAAAGGGUUUUACGGGUUUUUAGGGGGGUAAACGGGGGUAAAAGGGGUUUACGGGGGUUAAACCGUAAGUUAAGGUUAAGAACCGUAAACCGUAAGGGGUUAGGGUUUUAGGGUUUUAAAAAAAGUUUUUUUUUAAAAAAAAAAAAGUUUAAAAAACCCCGUAAAAACCGGGGAAAGUUUUAGGGGUACGGACGCCGUUCGUCGUUUUGUUACGUAGGUUUGUUAGUCAACUUUAACAAAUAUAUGGUUCGUUUUAUUUCAGACUUAAAUAAGUUGUCUGGUUAAUUUNUUGUUGUUGUUAUUAUUAUUAUUAUUAUUAUUAUUAUUAUUAUUAUUAUUACUAUUAGACUACCAUAAUUAUUAUUAUUAAGGGUAGUUGUAUUAGAAGUAGACA